rnacentral:lncRNA from 1 species
CCUCAUGCUAACAUCACCUCCACCGUCUCUGAAUCUGAACUGCGAGCUCUCCGGAUUCGAUAUCAUGUUCCGGAUAACUUUGCUAUGAGGGCUCCAGCUGCUGAGGAGCGAAUGUACCAGCGACCAGACGGAUGGGUCGCCAUGCCGACUACUCUGCUGGAAAAGGGGAUUCGCCUACCCCUCCACGCCUUCAUAGUUACCCUCCUAGGGUUUAUUGGAGUAGGCUUCGCACAACUGGUGCCUAACUCCUAUAUCCAUAUACUGGCGUUCAUCGCCUUCUGCCAUGAAUUAGGGGUUACCCCCUCUGUUGAUCUCUUCUUCACCCUCU